GUAUUUCCCCUUGGAGAUCAAUGAAGUUCAUUUUUAUCUUCCUAAAAACCUUCCUAUACACUCAAGAUGGUUUUAUUCUGCAGAGCAGUGAUGAAGAAGUCUCAAUAAUACCCAUUUGUAAAUCUCGUACAAGUUACCUCGCCGGCAGUCUUUGCAUUCUCAAAGGAAGGAAACGCAGACACCGAUUGAACAUAAAUGAGGCAUAAAUAAAGAAUGGUGCUCUGCUUGCAUCAUUUUCAUCCAGAAACCUCAUGGCCAUUGUUAUAAUUCAAAACAGUGUAGUUGAUCUUCUUUUGCGCUUAAAGCCUGUGGGUAAUGUAUAACGUGCAUCAUGGGAAAUAACUAUAUCCUGCCCUUUUUCUUCACAUUUGUUAGUACUCAAUCACAAAACCGUUAUCUAUUUCCCUUUGCUCAGUUCUUACCUCCAUGUUUCUAAUUUCUAAAAUUGAGAAUAAAGUAGAAGAUGCUUGUUUUCCGUUUAAACUAUUCUCACUAACUCUCUUUGACCACAAACACAGAGUCGUUUUCAUCACAUUAGGGAACAUUAAAUUUACCUUAAUUCCUUCCCUGCAGGCUAACCCCAACUCUAACAGCAACACUCAAAUAUAAUGACUUACAAUUGUCCCCCCCUAAAAAGCAGGUACCCACAUUGUGUUUGUGUUAACACAUUUUUGUGUGGGUAAUAAAAGCGCGCGCGCACACACACACAGAACAGCUAACUACUAUUCUGUUAGUUAUGUCAGAUCUAAGAAACAAACAUAUGUUUAAUGAAAAUGGAUUCAGAUGAACGCAACCCUUAAUUAACACUGUUAUCUUAGUCUUUAUUUUGUCACAAUUGUAUGUCAAAUAUAUAUAUACGCCUAUAUGACAUAUAUUAUAUGACAUAUAUAAUUUUAUUUCUUUACAAUAGAGAAACAACAGAGAUGACACACUAUUUUGGUUUCUAAGUAGAAGCUCCUUUUAAAUAGUGACAUUUUUUUCAAUACACUGUUUAGUUCAAGCUCCCACUCAAGUCAUGGUUUUGUUUUCCUUAUCGAGUCACAUUUAUUCACAUUUAUUCAUGUGUUUUUGUUUGUCUCUUCUUCUUUAUAAUUAGACGUCAGUAUUUUUUUUUUGUUGUCGUUGUUGUCUGCAGUUCAAUCUGUUCAUGUUUCAUCAAAAUUGACGUCCAUCUGUGUGUUUCCGGUCCGCGUGGCCUCACAGACAGUUUCCGCCUCCCAACCAUCCCGCGCCACCGGCAAACACGCAGUACAGUCACCGGGAACAGCGUCUUUACGGCGUUAAUCCAAUCAGCUCGCAGAGGGGCUGGCGCGAGCGCCUCCGGCUCCUCUGCAGCCGGGCGCUUUGCCGGCCAGGGAGAAGUUCGCGCCUCCGCCCGCGUGGGACGUCUGACCCCGGCAGUGACCCCGGGCUUCUCUCUGGCCCGCUGCCUUCAAACCUCUGGUCCCUCCGCCGGCGCGCGGAGCCCCGGCCGGAUAUCGGGGACAAUUCCCCUCCGACUCCCGCGCGGCCGCGGCCUCUGGAGUGUUCGAGCCGCCGCGGUGGAUCUUGCUCUGAGACCCGGGCAUUUUCGCCGGGCUGGAGAGGCCUUUCUGUUUUAAUUCCUGCGCCGGCUCCACGGGGAUUUCAAAGGAGCGGGGCAGCGGCGCAACGACGACGGCCACACCCUCACGCGGCGGGGAGGGAGAACCGCCCGGGGCCUCCGCCGUCUUUCCAGCCGACCCGGGGUGCCACUUGGGGAGCUCCCGUUGGUUCCGCUCGCUCGUGUCGGCGCCGUCGAGGUCGCGCGCUUGGAGGGAGGGGAUGAUGGGCACGGAACGGGUGCGCAGGGAAGGGGGAAGGUAGGGAGUGGCCUUAUCCAGACGGGUGCACGGGACCUCCGUCCAUCCCUUUCUGGUUGCGAAGUGAGGGAGGGAGGACCUGCCGAGGAGGAUGCCGGUCUUUCCGCCGGCAGAGUCACACCUUGAGGCAGAAGAAUAGAAUAGAAAUGCCGGUGUGAGAAAGAGCAAACAAGUCAUUAAACUAGUGGCCUUUUGUCCGAGAAACCUAAUAUACAAUAUGGAGAUAAAAGAUGCUAUUCUUUUGUGCUUUUUACAAUUUCAUUUCCCUCAUUAGAUCGAACAAAAGAAAGUCUUGCACCAAAGAAAAUACUAUUCAGCCAUUGUUCUCUCAUAAUUGUGUGUGUAUUAUUUAUAAUCCUGGACCAAAGCAGUCCAUAUUUUUGCUGCAUGCGCUUGAAAAAUCCCUUCAUUCUUGACCGUCUAGAAACACAGCAGCUGGGGUGCCUGACCUCCGCCUGCGGGAGGUUGUGGAAUAAUGUCUCUCCUUGAACCCGUGUCUUCUAAUUCCACUGCACAAUCAGAACACACCUAAUCAUGAGGAUUCACAAUGGGACAAUGGCGUCAUACUGUAGAGUGUGUUUGCAUCCUGCCAUCAAGUAUGAGGGCGUUAUCAUGAAAGGCAUCGGUUUCAGUGUGAAAAUAAUACAGGAGAGCUGGGAAACAUAUCCAGAGUCAAGUGGGUACGUUUGUACAUCAGUUGAACGUACAAAAGAGCUAAUAUUGUUACUGAAGACUCAAUACACAUUUAGAAUCACCCUGGCAAAGCCUUAGGAGACAGCCAGUGUUACUGUCAGCCCUUCAGAGACUGUUUGCAGCAUAACCAAGUUUAAAUUAUUGAAUUACUUUCCUAUUCCUCCCUCGGUAUUAGAAGGGCAAAUGCUAGCUGGAGGUAAAUCCGGCAGAUCAAAACAUAAAAAUAACUCCCAUGGCAGAUUUUGCCGACAAUUCUUUCCUUAUCUGUCAUGGGUAAAUAUAUGUUUUGACACUAGAUAAUGAAACUGACAAUACUCUCCGGGGAUUUGUUUUCACAAAAAGGAAAACGUGGCGGUGUUCUCGUGUUUGUUUGCUGUCGUCGCCUCAAACACUUUCCACCGCACUCCGUGCCUCCAUCUUUCCUUCACUGCCCUCAUCAUCUCUGCACAAUCUCCCUUCUUUCCUCACCUACCCCACUCGUGUUCUCUCACUCUCCUUUCCACCUCCCGUUUCUCAUUUCCAGAGAUGAGAGAGUGUAUCCAUGGCAACAAGGGAGAGGACGGGGGGGGGGGGGGGGGGGGGCUCGAACCAGAGGAAGAAAAAAAAAAAGGGGCUGUAAGCUUCGGUAGCUCGUAUAGCUGUUAAGUCGAGAAACACGUCAUUUGAACCUCCUGAAGGCGAGCGAUACUUGACUGAUGGAUCCGCGAGGGAAUUAUCAACGGAUAAUUAGAUCCAAACCCUAAUCCUCAGCUCCGCUCCCAAACACUGUGUUGGGUUAAAUUGCCUAUAGUCUACAGAUUUCUCUUUGUCUCAUCAGUUUGCUUAUUUGUUAACACCAGCAUGUGUGUGUGUGUGUGUGUGUGUGUGUGUGGGGGGGGGGUUAAGAGGGAAGCUGCUCCUGGAGGAUCUCCCCCCCCUCACAACCAUUUGAUGGGACCGCCGAGCUCCAUGGAGCUUUGUUUAAAAAUGUAAAUUAUGGAAAUAGGUCACAUAAAGAGUUUGGCGGCUCGGAGUGCAUCUCACAAGCCGAUCAGAUCGGCGUGCUGGUGGAAACGUGGCGCGCCACUUUUUAAGCGUGUGGAGGGCGCGAGGAACGCGACCGCGGCGACAAGUGUUUUCCCAUAGCGGCGCCGGCGUUCGAGUCGCACACACCGACGGCAAAUUGGGCCGUUGCGGAGUCGUGUGCUGAACAGGACUUCCUUCCUGAGGCCGAAAGAGGAUGUUUGGCAUCCUUAAAUCUAAAAUAAUUCAAAGUUUUAGUUUGAGCACGUUAUGCACGACUAUAAUAUACUAAACAAGCAUUUCAAUCAUCAGGGAAGGAUGUAUACACAUGUUACAUGUUAAUUCUCAUUUAUAAUCUGAAGAUCAUUGAGGCAAAAAGAAAAACCUUAACUGAAAUACUUCCUCCUUGAAGACGUACGGUGAACAUCCCUCUUUGAUAAGUGACGUCCAAACAGAAUUCCACUUCACGCUAUUCUUUUGAGCCAACGAGGAUCACCAGACUGUACUUAUAAAAUGUGUAAGUUGUUUUAAGCCCCCAGAUAGCCAACUGGCGAGAGGUGUCUCUGCCAAAAAAAAAAAAAAAGCCCUCCCUGCUUCCAAAGCCUCCUUGAAACAGCGCCAGGAGCUGUGCUUCACCGGUGAUAGCCAUGAAAUAGGGCACCUCGCCGUCCUCACUCGACAUCAGAAGGAGCAUAAGAAGGAGAAUUUAAGAGGCGUCAGUGCCUGAAAUCGAUUCUUUGCAGUCUUGUUCUAGAAGGCUGCAGUCAGUCGACCGUCGCGUCCUCGCGUUCAGCUCGUACAUACGCGGGAACAUGAAAUUAACUUCAGUUGAUAUCUUCACCAUAAUGCUUCGACGUUUACACGUGUCUAGAAUGGAUGGUCGUUGGCGAAUAUCAACCCGUUCUGGAGAUUCAUGUGCGUUUCCAGGCCUGCAGAUAAAUCACAUCUUUAUUCACGGCGACCACCCAGCAGCCAGUGUGGGGCGCGUCGCACGCAGACUCAUUUCCUGGACUUCACCAGCACCGUGACGCCGUCGAGCAGCUCUCCAGUGUUGUUCUCCAAAUGAAUUGUGGCAGUCUCAGUCGAAAGGAGGGCACAGCAGAUCUAAUUUGUUUCCCUGGAUCAGAUUCCAUGAGGCCAGUUGGCGGAUUUCAACUCGAGCAUGAACCUGGAUUUUCUUUUUUUUCUCCAGCGGCCAGCGUCACUGGACCGAGUGUUUGAUGCCGGCGGUGGAAAAAGGGGCGAAGAUGAUUUCCUCAUUGCGACUCACGCCAACACAACAAGACUAUAGAGAGAGAGAAAAAAGCUUCACCUUCUCAUGGACUCCACGUCUGCUGGCUCGUCCUCCUGCAGGUGUUUGUAGACGUGGCCAUUCGCUCUGGAUCCUUCGAUGAGAUUCGUGGAUAUUUUGUGCUUCCCUGUGGAAAUCGGUGGAGUCCUGAAGCAAAGCGUCUCCCUCCGUCGCCGGGCAGGACUGAGUGAAAGGGAACUGCUCCUGUGAGCAGGAGGGAACGUCGCAGGUUAAACACACUACUGCUACAAAACGUAGCAUGAAUUCAGAAACGGAUUUAUUGAAUCAAAUGUAUCUCAUCUCCCGGGUUCACCGGCAUCACGCUACUCAAUGUACACGACAUGCACAUUAAAUCAUUUGCCAUGGCACAGUCGAAUAGGAGAAAGAGAGGGAGAGAGGGAUUUGACUCAAGGGUCAGUAGCUGUGUGAGGCCUUACUUGGGCUGAAUGCUAACAUUAGUUACAAUGCUGAUGAUUAGCAGGUAAUAGUUGGUUCACCACUUUAGCUUGUUAGCAUGCUGAUGGUUUGAUGGUCAUUAGUUUUGCAGGUUUUCAGUUACUAACCAAAGCGCUGGUGAAAUUGACCUGACUGAAAUUGACUGGUGAGCAUUAUUCAAGGUCUCCAGAGUCUUUUUUUUAAUGAAAGAUCUUUCCCUGACAACCACAAAUAUAUACUGCAAAAAUCAGAAGGACAAUAUUACCCCACAUUAUUUUUUAAUGGCAAACAAUCUAACAAUCUCCAAAACUGAUUAAAUAAUUUGGCAUGGCAGCAGUGCCAAAUACACAAAAAGACAACUAUGUAUAAGGUGGUGGACUGUUUUCCAGCUUGUCCUUCAAAUAAACUCCAACAUUUCCUUUAAUUCAAUCAGUCGACUAAAAAAAUAUGCAACUAUAAUAAUUGCCAAAUAUCCCGGUCUGUGGAGCAAUAAGCAUGACUAAAGUUGACCCCAGUCUGAUGUUGUGAAAAGUUAUAUUGAUAAAGCUGAACCAUGUCAAUUUUGUUCCCUAUCAGCAUGCGGAUGUUUUAAUUAGAAUUAACUAAAAGCUGAAAGAUGGCUGUUGUAAUUAUUGAAUGUUAAAGGUCUAAAACCGAAGGGCAGCUGCUUAUCUCAACUACAAAAAAAAUAAAAAAGUACAACUUCCUGAUGCUAAAUGGGUCAGACUCGCGGUGAGAUUAAUCAAGCACGUAUUUCAUUAAAUCCUUCUCGGUUUGGGGUACUUUUUUUGGGAUAUACUAGAGAGAGGCAGAAAACACUGGAAGACAGAGGACGCGUGACAAGAAUAAACAGCAUUUCCCACAGAAACACACACGCAACGCACUUCUAUUAUAGUCUCUAAUAUAUGCAUGUGUUCACUCACUCAAUUUGAGAAUAUUGAUUAGCCUACAAUUUUCUUCUAAUCCAAUCAUGACAACGGCACAAAUGACAACAAUGAUUGACUGCUGACUGUGUUAUAAUUAUACAUUAACUUGGACCCUGUUUUGUCCCUCAGAUUUUGCUGCCAAAGCAACUUGGAAUAUGCUUGAGAACAGAAGGAGCUGCGUUGAUUCAGAACUUGGAAAUUAUUGUUUUCCCCACUGACAUUUGUACAACAGGCACUGUGCGACAGAGGUAGAAAGUGUUAUUUUAUAAAAAAAACGUGACUUGAGGGAGGAAUGGAAUUUGUCUUUUAAAGAUAUUGAUUCCUGGCAUUUCCUUUUGCUCCACUAUUUUAGUUGAAGUUGAACCCAGGCUAAAGGUCAGCUUCAUUAUUAUUAUUAUUACCAUUAGAACCAUUUACAACUGCAAUUUAAAUGAGCUAAGGAUGUGUUUACUGCUAUUUAACAUAAGUUAAAAAUAUUCCACAACGCUAAACAUGAUUUCAUGGUGAGGCUGUCUGUACGCUACAGUUAUCAUUCAUCUGAACGUACUGCUCCUCGUUCCGGGUAAAGAGCAGGUGAUUUUGAACAUGGGAUAUAGAUUCAGGGAUUCAUGGGAUGUCCACGUUGUUUUCCACAACAUUUACCAAAAGAUAAGCUGUGCAUUUAAACAUUUAAAUCAGUCUGCACGUGCUCAUAAGGUUCUAAACCCUAUGAUACUCAGUUAACCUCUGGCAGCGAUAUUGACGGGACAUAUCGACACGCUUUUACGGAGCAUUUCUCCCGAUAGCCCCAAAUGGGCUCCACGUCUCUCCUCUCAACAUCAUCCGUCACAUUCGAGUUGUCCUGAGCCUCCUCUGAGGACCGGCCCAACACAUGAUUGACCGUCAGCUGCCCUCCGUGAAGCACCUGCACGCCACUGUGGGGAAAAUAAAGCCCGGACGAGUCGGAACCAUCCGCACAGCCACACAUGGCAACCUUUCUCUCAGUUCCCCGUUAUUAUUAAUCCUGCACACUUUGCUCCCUUUCAUCGGUGUACUUUAUCUCAUUUUUCGUUUGUCUAAAUGCGCACAGCAGUGUGGCGACUCUUCAAAUAGACGCGUGGGGCCUGGCGCCUGUUCUCUUUUCCAGAGUUGCUUCCAAUGUUGGAACACCGUCAGAUGGAGCAAAAAGGGCAGACGUUUUCCAACAAUUUGCAAAGUUGCAAAGGGCAAAAAAAAGAAAAAUUCUGAAAUGACUUGUUGCAUGCUGUGUCGCUGAACGUCAUCUAUACUGUAAUAGUGCACCUACAUCAUCACAGCACAUGAGGCUUUUCUGUAAACAUCCCGCAUAGGGCCAUUGUAACACGCAGCACGCUCUAAACCCACAUGUGGUUCAUCUUCUGUCACUCGAGGGACAUGAAAGGAAUCUGGUUGAACCGAUGUUAAACUCUGCAUAUUAAACAGAGGACGUCUCCUCCUCUCCUCCUGCCUGCAUCGGUGUGCAAGAACUUCUGCCUGAGCACACGUUUUUAAUCACUUUGCACAAUUUACUGGACAUGUCGUGUCAAUACAGACGUUUCCAUUCAAAACUGUUUUGAUAGCCAAACUAAUAAGCAUCCUAAUAAUAUAAUGAAAAAUAAUAGAUUCAAACGAAGGAUUUGCACACAGGACGUCUGUAUUAUCUACUCUGUUGCAGGAUGGUCACAUUUCCCACUCGGCUGCCUCUCCUAUCUGAAUACGGUGAACGAAAUGAGACAGGAAGUAAGAGGAUUUCACAUUGUCACCUGAAGCGUUUCCCUUUGGACAGCGCUCUGAUGAGAAUGGGUGGGGCUGCUGUCGAUGUGCCCGGUGCCACGCCGCUGCUCUUGACAGACGAUCCGUGAGAACGGCAGCCCUGCGAAAGAUGAAGCAGAAUAAUGCGUACAGCGAGCCGUAAAACGUGGUAAUUCGGGAUGUAUCUUCCUUAUUAUCCUCGGGUUGAACAUGACACACAAACGGGAAGUUGCUUUGUCAUCAUUUAGCCUUGAUUCAUUUGUUAUGAUUAUCAAAAUGAAAUACAAGACGUUCAGCUGUAAGGGGAUUUUAUAAGUCAACACAUGCAGGGGUUACUGUAUGUGGUUAAGCAGCAAGUCCCCACUCAGGUUCAAGUCCCCAGCGAGGUCGAGGAUGUUCUCUCACUGAUGUAACCCCCUUAGUGCGGCGGAGUGUCCUUAAUUACACUUUACAUUUUAAACUGCGGAUUAGGAGGGGACGCUUUGUGAAUAAACUCCACCAUGGCCCUCGUAACACCCCCGCCGCACUACAGAAUUAAUCCCACACAAGAUUAUAUUAAUGGUUUCCAAAGAAUUUACCCCCUCAAUUCUUUUCCUUUAUUCUUAUCAGCGACGAACGCCAUUAUCACACAACAGGCUGAGCCCUGCGCAGCGACCACGGAUGCCCCGAGAACACCCGCCCCCCCCGUGUGAGGCCCUAAGUCACCAGAUAAUUCUGUUAUUCCAGUUCCGCUACUUCCUGCACCGGCCUUUCUCUCCGUCUGAUUUUACAUCAUUAAUGUAAUUGCAUGUGACUUGGAGGCAGUUCGGGCCGCUCACGCCCGAUAAACCUCUUUUUCUCUCCCUUGUACUCCCUUGACUCCCAGAGGGAGCUGUUACUGCUCUUCACCAGUUGUGCGAGAAAAUAGGAUCAUUUCGGCCACCCUCUCAUGUGCCCUGCAGGUGGAGAGAAACGCUCACUCUCUUGGAACAAUUACUGUGGCAAACAUUCCCAGAGGAUGAUAUCGACGUCGGGGCAUAAAAUAAAUAGUUUGUGGCGGACGGUGGCGGACGCGACGGCCGCGACCCAUUCCGCUUGUUCCCUCCUUUCCCCCUUUUGCCGUGUUUUAUGCCACUUUGUAAAAAGCCUCGGAUAAACACACACAAACACACGAAUGUAUUUUAAGGGGGAAACACAGAAAAAAAAAUGGGUCGAUAUGUUGUCCAUCAACUACAUAGCAAGCAGAAAGGCAAACCAAAUGCGUUUGGAGCAGCAUUAAUCCUCCUCGGAUUACCAUCCAAUCACAUGUCCUGAACUCUGCAUGAUGGGACGUUUGAGCGUUCUUCACUGCAGAUGCAGUUUACUGCUCAAACAAAGCAGUGAGUCCACGUGACGGCCAUUGAUAGCAGACGUGUUUUUAGGCUCUACAAGAGCAAAAUGUUAAUCACUACUUUCAGCACUGUGCACCGACGUGCACAUUAGCAUCGACGUUGUAACUGUUGACAGCGUUAUUAAUGUUGCAGCUGCACCGGAUUUUCCUUUUAUUAAUCAUGGCGCUACCUACGGAAGCUGCUGUCACAACACCGAGUGAACGAGUCGCUCGUAUGGAUCCUCCAUGUGCUGCACCAGUACUGAGUUUAAAAAAAAAAAAAGAAAGUAAUACAAAAACCCACAUCUUCCAAAGACAGUUUUAUGCACCUGCAACUUUAGCUUGUUGGACAUAUUUCAAACAUUCCCUUAAGUCCACAAUGUGUCUGUCGGACCACAUGACCGUAGAGAAUUAUAAAAGUGGCGUUGGGGUAAGAGAACGCUCCCUUGUGCCACAGCAGAUCUUUUUUAUUGAAAUACUUUUCUGUGGAUUUAUGUACACAGGGUUCUUAUUAUUCUCUACAGCCAUGAAGUAUUCAUGCUGCCUUUACUCAUUCCUAAAGGUUACCUCAGUUCUUUAGUUCCUUAGUUUAUUUGUACAAUCUGAAAAAUACACAAACAUAACAUAGAUAAAUAAUAUCGGCGUGAAGGAAAAGGCCACUGGGCUUAUAAUAUAGCAUAUGAUAGUAUAGAAUAAAAUAUAUAUAUAAUAAUAAUACGCACGAGACAUGACUGAGUAAUAUUGUUGACAAGAUUAUAUGAAACCACAAUACAAAGCAGCAUAUUGACUUUUUAUAGAGAUUUCUCCUCAGUCUUUUCUCAGAGUGCGACUAGUUAGUUUCCUCCAGCUUCAGUCUCAAGGGAGUUGAGUUUUUUUUCUAGUCUGGUCUUUCCAGCCCGUGUGCCCAUCUCCUUUUAUUUGAGAAACACUAUUAUUUGCCACACAGGGGUUGAUUUAACUCUCAGAGGCGCGGGAGGCCUUUUACGAUUCAAUUACAUUCCAAUUUAUGUUUUUCUUAUGCUUUCCCUUAAAAGCGCCGUGAAACAACUCAUGCUCUCCUCUGCGACUCGUAUAUAUACUAAUAGAGGUCGGGCUAUUUGCGAAAAAGUGCAGGAGCGCCUGGAAUCCACUUGCCUUUGGAAAUCCCUAUUCACAGAUGGAGGAAACAUAUGCACGGGAGUUUCUCCAGAUGUGUAAACAUGUACAGGUAUUUGGGUUGACAGAUGGAAGAGACACACAUAAACAUGUGCAAACGCCGCUUGAGCCAAGGCGGGAGUGCAAAGGAUUCCCACAUAAUAGUUGAGGGCGGUGAAGUACGCACAGUACGUCAGGUAACCUGAUUUGGUCCAGGCCCUGCAGAAGGAAAUCAACGCGUAGAGGUGAUGUCGCCGUGUGUUGAAUCCGUCUCUGCGUCGCUGCGGACGACGUCUUGCGCUCAGUGAGCUGAGGCGUUUUUUUUGUGGGAGGUUAAAGAUACUCGAGUGUCGCCUCAGCUUAGGAUACAGGCGACACCGACCGGAAUGGACCUUCAUCGCCCCCGUCUGCACCUGCCUCGACAGAGCCUGCCCUCAUCUUCCACCUUGCUAUCUCAAACGCACACAGCGGGGGAAAAAAAAAUAUAUAUGUUGAGCUUUCUGCUGCCCUCCCUUUGUGAGCUGUAUCUUUCUCCGCUUUCUCGUCCUCUGUGCAAAACCCAGGGAACUCUCAGGACCACGCCACCACCCACAGGACGUCCUCUCCCUAGAAGGUUGGUAGCUUAGCGAGUGGGUGGAGAGAAGCAGUGGUCCCGGGUGUCGCUGUGGCAAACAUGGUGGGAGAAUCUUUUCCAGGUCUGUCGAGCUCGUGCCCCCUCCUGGGUGUUUAUAGCCGGCGAUCUUUAAUGUCCCACCUUAAGCGCCCUUCACACUGUUGUGGUGUUAUUGCUCAUUUUCUGCGUUGGCCUCCCCUCCUGGCCUCCUGCCCGUGUCCAGCUCCGACAGCAGUCCGUGGCGGGAUGCAAGGCGUCACUUUCAUGACUACGGGCCUCGCUUCUGCACGCGUGUACAAUAAACUGAACCGAUGUGCUGGGACCGGUGGGGUGGCAGUGGAGGGUUUUGCUUUAUGAUUUUGUCUGUUUUGCAGUGGAGACGUUUUGUGUUGGAAUCCAUUUGAGUAUGAGUUUUUUUUAUUUUUUUUAUUCAACACAAUUUACAUGAAAUGUUGUACAAGCUGUGAAGCUGUGAAGCGCUAAAAGCGCUAAUUUCAACUCCAGUUGCGUGGUUGCGGUUAGCCCGAGGGCUGUUUGUUCCAGUGGGGGACAAUAGACACGUUGCAUUAUUGAAGAGAUCCAGCGCGCGGCUUCAUUUGGGAUCACGGAAAUGACAGAAUAAGGUUGAACUUGAAGGAGGAAUUCCCGGCGACGGCAAAUACAUUUGUGUCACAGACAAAACGUGUCGGCCAUCAAACAGGCGUGCCGGCCCUCUUUUCUCCUUUACAAGUUCAUCUUCAUGCGAGUCAUGCAUGUUGCAGAAGUCAUAUUUAUUCAUGCGUUUGCAAUCUGACAGUAACACCCGGAGAUUUGCACAUCGACAGAGAGCCGGUGAAGAUUAGCGCAGCCACAAGACACAAAAUCAUUAUUGUGUAUUUUCCUCAAACAGCAAAAAAAAAGAUGCUCACCAAACAACAAAUAAAAAAAACAUAACAUUGCGUCUCAUUAAAACUUAUUUUCAACACCAAACAAAAUAUUUUGUGUUCUGGAAAGUGCUAAUUGCCCUUCUUUGAUGCAUUAGGCAGCCGUUGGCAUUCUGUGGACUAAUCAGGCUGAUCGGCGUCCUCCGCAUCCUCCACGUGCUGCGCUUUAAAUGUCUGGGUCACUUUUCUCUCCGCCGUCUGCCGCUGCGGUUUGUAGUGGCUUUUAAUUCAUUUCAAGCCGCUUUUUUUUUUUUCGGAAUGCCAACAACCUCCCAUUUCGACCAGACGGUUGUCGGUGGGAUUUUUCAUUGGGGAGAAAUAGCUGCCGAAACUACGUUACGGUUCGUCGGCAAAAUGUUUCGGGUGUUGUUCAGAUGCAAAUGAUCGUAAUAAUGACAAAGAGAAGGCUGGAAACAAAUCUAUACGUGACUUACCUUUUGGAGGGGAAGGCUGUAUUGGAGCCGGGGACUGGAUUUGGACAUGAGGCCGGAGGCGUUCACACCGCUGUCCCUCAGGCUGCGGCUCUCGGAGAAAUGAGCCUGGAGUUUCUCCCUGUGUCUC
ensembl:lncRNA